rnacentral:lncRNA from 1 species
AGGCAUUGAGGCAGCCAGCGCAGGGGCUUCUGCUGAGGGGGCAGGCGGAGCUUGAGGAAACCGCAGAUAAGUUUUUUUCUCUUUGAAAGAUAGAGAUUAAUACAACUACUUAAAAAAUAUAGUCAAUAGGUUACUAAGAUAUUGCUUAGCGUUAAGUUUUUAACGUAAUUUUAAUAGCUUAAGAUUUUAAGAGAAAAUAUGAAGACUUAGAAGAGUAGCAUGAGGAAGGAAAAGAUAAAAGGUUUCUAAAACAUGACGGAGGUUGAGAUGAAGCUUCUUCAUGGAGUAAAAAAUGUAUUUAAAAGAAAAUUGAGAGAAAGGACUACAGAGCCCCGAAUUAAUACCAAUAGAAGGGCAAUGCUUUUAGAUUAAAAUGAAGGUGACUUAAACAGCUUAAAGUUUAGUUUAAAAGUUGUAGGUGAUUAAAAUAAUUUGAAGGCGAUCUUUUAAAAAGAGAUUAAACCGAAGGUGAUUAAAAGACCUUGAAAUCCAUGACGCAGGGAGAAUUGCGUCAUUUAAAGCCUAGUUAACGCAUUUACUAAACGCAGACGAAAAUGGAAAGAUUAAUUGGGAGUGGUAGGAUGAAACAAUUUGGAGAAGAUAGAAGUUUGAAGUGGAAAACUGGAAGACAGAAGUACGGGAAGGCGAAGAAAAGAAUAGAGAAGAUAGGGAAAUUAGAAGAUAAAAACAUACUUUUAGAAGAAAAAAGAUAAAUUUAAACCUGAAAAGUAGGAAGCAGAAGAAAAAAGACAAGCUAGGAAACAAAAAGCUAAGGGCAAAAUGUACAAACUUAGAAGAAAAUUGGAAGAUAGAAACAAGAUAGAAAAUGAAAAUAUUGUCAAGAGUUUCAGAUAGAAAAUGAAAAACAAGCUAAGACAAGUAUUGGAGAAGUAUAGAAGAUAGAAAAAUAUAAAGCCAAAAAUUGGAUAAAAUAGCACUGAAAAAAUGAGGAAAUUAUUGGUAACCAAUUUAUUUUAAAAGCCCAUCAAUUUAAUUUCUGGUGGUGCAGAAGUUAGAAGGUAAAGCUUGAGAAGAUGAGGGUGUUUACGUAGACCAGAACCAAUUUAGAAGAAUACUUGAAGCUAGAAGGGGAAGUUGGUUAAAAAUCACAUCAAAAAGCUACUAAAAGGACUGGUGUAAUUUAAAAAAAACUAAGGCAGAAGGCUUUUGGAAGAGUUAGAAGAAUUUGGAAGGCCUUAAAUAUAGUAGCUUAGUUUGAAAAAUGUGAAGGACUUUCGUAACGGAAGUAAUUCAAGAUCAAGAGUAAUUACCAACUUAAUGUUUUUGCAUUGGACUUUGAGUUAAGAUUAUUUUUUAAAUCCUGAGGACUAGCAUUAAUUGACAGCUGACCCAGGUGCUACACAGAAGUGGAUUCAGUGAAUCUAGGAAGACAGCAGCAGACAGGAUUCCAGGAACCAGUGUUUGAUGAAGCUAGGACUGAGGAGCAAGCGAGCAAGCAGCAGUUCGUGGUGAAGAUAGGAAAAGAGUCCAGGAGCCAGUGCGAUUUGGUGAAGGAAGCUAGGAAGAAGGAAGGAGCGCUAACGAUUUGGUGGUGAAGCUAGGAAAAAGGAUUCCAGGAAGGAGCGAGUGCAAUUUGGUGAUGAAGGUAGCAGGCGGCUUGGCUUGGCAACCACACGGAGGAGGCGAGCAGGCGUUGUGCGUAGAGGAUCCUAGACCAGCAUGCCAGUGUGCCAAGGCCACAGGGAAAGCGAGUGGUUGGUAAAAAUCCGUGAGGUCGGCAAUAUGUUGUUUUUCUGGAACUUACUUAUGGUGAUUUAAUAAUAAUUUAAAACUACUAUAGAAACUGCAGAGCAAAGGAAGUGGCUUAAUGAUCCUGAAGGGAUUUCUUCUGAUGGUAGCUUUUGUAUUAUCAAACUUUUUUCAGAUAACAUCUUCUGAGUCAUAACCAGCCUGGCAGUAUGAUGGCCUAGAUGCAGAGAAAACAGCUCCUUGGUGAAUUGAUAAGUAAAGGCAGAAAAGAUUAUAUGUCAUACCUCCAUUGGGGAAUAAGCAUAACCCUGAGAUUCUUACUACUGAUGAGAACAUUAUCUGCAUAUGCCAAAAAAUUUUAAGCAAAUGAAAGCUACCAAUUUAAAGUUACGGAAUCUACCAUUUUAAAGUUAAUUGCUUGUCAAGCUAUAACCACAAAAAUAAUGAAUUGAUGAGAAAUACAAUGAAGAGGCAAUGUCCAUCUCAAAAUACUGCUUUUACAAAAGCAGAAUAAAAGCGAAAAGAAAUGAAAAUGUUACACUACAUUAAUCCUGGAAUAAAAGAAGCCGAAAUAAAUGAGAGAUGAGUUGGGAUCAAGUGGAUUGAGGAGGCUGUGCUGUGUGCCAAUGUUUCGUUUGCCUCAGACAGGUAUCUCUUCGUUAUCAGAAGAGUUGCUUCAUUUCAUCUGGGAGCAGAAAACAGCAGGCAGCUGUUAACAGAUAAGUUUAACUUGCAUCUGCAGUAUUGCAUGUUAGGGAUAAGUGCUUAUUUUUAAGAGCUGUGGAGUUCUUAAAUAUCAACCAUGGCACUUUCUCCUGACCCCUUCCCUAGGGGAUUUCAGGAUUGAGAAAUUUUUCCAUCGAGCCUUUUUAAAAUUGUAGGACUUGUUCCUGUGGGCUUCAGUGAUGGGAUAGUACACUUCACUCAGAGGCAUUUGCAUCUUUAAAUAAUUUCUUAAAAGCCUCUAAAGUGAUCAGUGCCUUGAUGCCAACUAAGGAAAUUUGUUUAGCAUUGAAUCUCUGAAGGCUCUAUGAAAGGAAUAGCAUGAUGUGCUGUUAGAAUCAGAUGUUACUGCUAAAAUUUACAUGUUGUGAUGUAAAUUGUGUAGAAAACCAUUAAAUCAUUCAAAAUAAUAAACUAUUUUUAUUAGAG